AGUGAACGCUGGCGGCGUGCUUAACACAUGCAAGUCGAACGAGAACGGGAAUAUAGCUUGCUAUAUUUGUCAGCUAAGUGGCGCACGGGUGGGUAAUGUAUAGAUAACCUGCCCUUAAGAAAGGAAUAACAGUUGGAAACGACUGCUAAUGCCCUAUAUGCCUUUAAUACAUAAGUAUGCAAGGGAAACGCUUUAGUGCUUAAGGAUGGGUCUGUAUGGUAUCAGCUUGUUGGUGAGGUAAUGGCUCACCAAGGCUAUGACGCCUAACUGGUUUGAGAGGAUGAUCAGUCACACUGGAACUGAGACACGGUCCAGACUCCUACGGGAGGCAGCAGUGGGGAAUAUUGCACAAUGGACGAAAGUCUGAUGCAGCAACGCCGCGUGGAGGAUGACACAUUUCGGUGCGUAAACUCCUUUUAUAUAGGAAGAUAAUGACGGUACUAUAUGAAUAAGCACCGGCUAACUCCGUGCCAGCCGCCGCAGUAA
rnacentral:rRNA from 1 species